rnacentral:rRNA from 1 species
AGGCAGCAGGCGCGCAAUUACCCACUCCCAGCACGGGGAGGUAGUGACGAAAAAUAACGAUACGGGACUCAUCCGAGGCCCCGUAAUCGGAAUGAGUACAAUUUAAAACUUUUUCCGAGGAUCAAUUGGAGGGUAAGUCUGGUGCCAGCAGCCGCGGUAAUUCCAGCUCCAAUAGCGUAUAUUAAAGUUGUUGCGGUUAAAAAGCUCGUAGUCGAAUCUGUGUCCCGCGCCGCUGGUUCAUCGCUCGCGGUGUUCAACUGGCGUGUCCGCGGGACGUCCUGCCGGUGGGCGCACGUAUUGCUCCGGUGGUGCGUGGCCCAACUCGUAGCCGUCUCGCGCGGUUGCGAAUCCCAUCGCGGUGCUCUUUAUUGAGUGUCGAGGUGGGCCGGCACGUUUACUUUGAACAAAUUAGAGUGCUUAAAGCAGGCCAAUUUUGCCUGAAUAUUGUGUGCAUGGAAUAAUGAAAUAGGACCUCGGUUCUAUUUUGUUGGUUUUCGGAACCCCGAGGUAAUGAUUAAUAGGAACGGAUGGGGGCAUUCGUAUUGCGACGUUAGAGGUGAAAUUCUUGGAUCGUCGCAAGACGGACAGAAGCGAAAGCAUUUGCCAAAAACGUUUUCAUUGAUCAAGAACGAAAGUUAGAGGUUCGAAGGCGAUCAGAUACCGCCCUAGUUCUAACCAUAAACGAUGCCAGCUAGCGAUCCGCCGACGUUCCUCCGAUGACUCGGCGGGCAGCUUCCGGGAAACCAAAGCUUUUGGGUUCCGGGGGAAGUAUGGUUGCAAAGCUGAAACUUAAAGGAAUUGACGGAAGGGCACCACCAGGAGUGGAGCCUGCGGCUUAAUUUGACUCAACACGGGACACCUCACCAGGCCCGGACACCGGAAGGAUUGACAGAUUGAUAGCUCUUUCUUGAUUCGGUGGGUGGUGGUGCAUGGCCGUU